UCCUAUAGCGGAAGAAGAAACCCCUCGCUGUCAUCCUCAUCCUCAUCAUCCUCCUCCAUCCUCCACUGCUAAGAUGCUGCAUCUCCUCACACAAGCUGCAGUAAUGUGCUUUAAUGCGCUGGUUAUCGCUCAGCCCGACGACUACAGGGUGGCCGAGAGAGCUUAUGUGGUCCUGCAGAAGCAGAAUUUAGUCACACUGGGGAGUGUCCUGGCGGUGGUGCUGGUGCUGAUGAUCAUUAUGGCUGUCUGCGUCUACAAACCGCUGUCUCGUCGCUGAAACCUGGAGGACAUAUGAACCGAGAGACAAUCCUGUUCUGUCUGCAAAGUUACACCUGCUCUGUUGCCAUAACCGUGUGCAGAUGGGCCCGGACUGAGGGAAAAGCAGCUGCCAAAAAGCCCAGUGUGCGCAGUUAGUUUAUAAACACAGAUCAGGCGUAACUUUAUGAGCACUGACGGUGAAUAACAGUGAUUAUGUCUUCAUCAUGGCACCUGUUGGUGGGUGUGGGAUAUAUUAGAGUGCAAGUCAUCAUUAUGUCCUCAAAUUUGGUGUGUUAGAAGCAGGAAAAAUGUGCAAGCAUAGGUGUUUGAUUGAGUUUGAGGGCCACUUUGUGAUAGCCAACUCUACUAAACAUCUCCAGUACUGCGGGUCUCUUGGGCUGUUCCCGGUAUGCGGUGGUCAGUUUCUAUCAAAAGUGGUCCAAGCAUGGAGGUUCACUGAUGUAUGUUAAGAGUAACGGUUGGCCAGUUUGGCCCAAUCCAACAUUUUCAGCAAUUUGAGCUACUGUAGCUCAAAUUGCACCUUCAGCGGGCUAGUGGAGUCCAUGCCUCGAUGGUUCAAGGCUGUUUUGGUAGGAAAAGAAGGACUAACGCAGUAUACAGGUGGCCAUAAUGCUAUGCCUGAUCAGUGUAUCUUUAGUGUCUUUAAUUUAUCUUGAUCUCAGGUCAGUUAUUAAUAUAAUUUAAAGUGUACACAGAUACACCUACAGUGGAGCUCAAACAUCUGAGACUGGGCCUCAUGUUUCCAGCAGAAAACUGCUUUACCACUAUCACCUGUUUCAUCUUCAGGUGACAGUGGCAAAAGAAACUCAAUCACAUUUUAUGACUAGACAAAGAUCGCAGAUUAAAACUUUCCAGAAAUUGCUCUAUCUAAACCUCACUGUUCACUGUCACUUAAAAGCAGUUCCAUCACAGAUAAAGAAAUUUCUAAAUAAUAAUUUCUAGAUAACAGUGCAUCAAACCCAAAGUGCUCUGGAGAUGGAUACUUGUACUGAGCUGACUCCACCCUGACCAAGGAGAACCACUGGUUUCAUCAGAGACAUCCUUCACCCUUCUGAUUUUGAAGAAUAUUAUUACUGCUAAGGAGCCAACACACCAGGCUUUGCAGGAACUACUUGAAGACAGGGAUAUACAUCACAAGAAACUCCUUGAAUCAUUUGCUGUUAGCUGUUAUUAAUUUCAAAUAGGGGGUAGAUAUUCUGAAAUUCAGGUACAUUGUUAAGGCUUUUCGGCUCCACUGCGUAUUAGUUUAUGCAAAAUUGCGUUUGUAAAUGCUCACCUAAUGACACAAGUAGUAAUCUGGGCCUGUAUUCUAUAAAACGUGAGCACCACGUGUUAUUUAUUUGGGUUUCAAAGCUGGAAAUUUUGUGAUUGGAUGUAUUUUUUGUUUGAUGAAAAGCAAAAGUUCUGCAAGCAUUAAACUUUGAGAUUAGAAAGUGAGA